GUUGGGACUUUCUGUGCAGGGGGUGAAAAGGCGCUCAAGAACUUUCCGAAAAUGGACAGGGAGACAAAACUAUAUAUCGAUCGUGUGGACACCUGUCGAUCCGGUGGAAUAAGUUGGGCAGAGAUGACAACAAUAUAAUGUGUGAGGUCGAAUGUCAGAAUUAUUUGUGCUUGUCCGUUGAGAUGGAGAUACGUUAGCUGGCAUGGAGAUUUUUCAGUUAUUCGGGUGAUCUUUGGUGGUGCAGCUACGUUUUCUUUUUGAGAAUUCAGCAGGGGAACCCCUACUGUGUUUUUUUGUGUAUUUUGGGCAUAGAAAUAUCUAGAACUAAGUGUACAGCUUUAUAUGAGAAUAUAUGUUCACUCAUGGAAAGAAUCUAAGUCAUUCUGUAU
rnacentral:lncRNA from 7 species